AUUGAACGCUGUCGGCAGGCCUAACACAUGCAAGUCGAACGAGUGGCGGACGGGUGAGUAAUGUCUGGGAAACUGCCCGAUGGAGGGGGAUAACUACUUGAAACGGUAGCUAAUACCGCAUACCAUCGGAUGUGCCCAGCUGUGAUUAGCUAGUAGGUUGGGUAACGGCUCACCUAGGCGACGAUCCCUAGCUGGUCUGAGAGGAUGACCAGCAACACUGGAAAUGAGACACGGUCCAGACUCCUACGGGAGGCAGCAUUGGGGAAUAUUGCACAAGGGGCGCAAGCCUGAUGCAGCCAUGCCGCGGGUAUGAAGAAGGCCUUCGGGUUGUAAAGUACUGUCAGCGAGGAGGCGUUACUCGCAGAAGAAGCAACGGCUAACUCCGGGCCAGCAGCCGCGGUAAUAC
rnacentral:rRNA from 1 species